rnacentral:rRNA from 1 species
AUGUGCUUGUCUUCGCGAAUGUUCGAUGGGAAGACACGCUCCUUCUCCAUUACUAGAAAGGCUUUCCCUGAAAGUAAAUACGUCCUCCCUGUCCCAAUCUCCCGCCUAGCCCACCGUCAUCUCCCCCUUCUCCUAUCCUAUGCAACCGUCUCGGGUCUUUUGCUCAAGGUACCCUUGCUCCACUCUGUCCUUCGCUCACUCUCCACAGGUCCUGUCCCAUCUCUCUCCCUCUCAUUCCUCUCCCUACUCCACCGGUCUGGCUACAUGCCCAUCGAUAACUACUCCCUUAGCGCUGCUCUUUCUACCGCCGCCCGCAUGCCCUCCGUUGUUGUUGGUGCCCAGCUCCAUACCCUUUCUGUGAAACUCGGCUUAAGUUCUGAUACCUUUGUCCUUAAUACUCUUAUCAAUAUGUACUCGUCUUGUAGUUAUCCAUCUACUGCAAGAUCAGUUCUUGAUUCUGCUCCCAAAGGAGCCUCUGAUACAGUUUCUUGGAAUACAAUCAUUGCUGGAUACGUACAUGCUGGGCUGCCUAAUAAGGCUUUGCAGGCUUUUAGCCAAAUGGCCAAGGCGCAAGUUAUGCUGGAUGAGGUCACCUUGCUGAAUGCUCUAGUUGCUUGUGCAAGGACAUGCAUGAUGAAGGUCGGAAAGCUCUGUCAUGCACUACUUGUGACAAAUGGUUUUGAGAUUAACUGUUAUAUGGGUUCCUCUUUGAUUAGUAUGUAUGCAAAGUGUGGGCUUGUUGAAGAUGCUCGCAGGGUUUUUGAUGGAUUGCCUGAGAGGAAUGCGGUUUGCUGGACCUCAAUGAUUUCUGGAUAUACACAGUUAGGUCAGUCUAAAGAGGCUGUUAAGCUAUUCAGAGAGAUGCAAAUUGCUGGAGUGAAAGUUGAUGAUGCAACAAUUGCUACUGUUGUAUCUUCAUGCGGCCAGAUGGGAGCACUGGACUUGGGACGGUAUGUCCAUGCUUACUGUGACAUUCAUGGUUUAGGGAAGGAUAUUUCUGUGAAAAAUUCAUUGAUUGACAUGUACUCAAAGUGUGGGGAUAUAAAUAAGGCCUAUGAUAUAUUUUGUGGAAUGGUCAAGCGGGAUGAUUUUUCCUGGACAGUGAUGAUAAUGGGCUUUGCUGCAAAUGGCCUCUCUGGUGAGGCAUUAGAUUUGUUUGCGCAGAUGGAAGAAGAGGGUGAAGUCAUGCCGAAUGAGAUAACUUUCUUGGGUGUCCUAACUUCUUGCAGCCAUGGAGGAUUAGUUGAACAAGGAUACCAUCACUUCCAUCGCAUGUCCAGUAUUUACGGUAUUGCCCCAAGGAUCGAACACUAUGGAUGCAUGGUUGAUCUCCUGGGCCGUGCUAAGUUAUUGGCAGAGGCAGAACAGUUCAUUAAAGAGAUGCCUAUCGCUCCUGAUGUUGUAAUGUGGCGGUCGUUGUUGUUUGCCUGCAGAGCCUGUGGAGAGGUGGGACUUGCAGAGUAUGUAGCAGAAAGGAUCCAAGUAUUGGAGCCAAACAGGUGUGGAGGGGACGUUUUACUUUCUACUGUCUAUGCAACCACAUCAAGGUGGGUUGAUGCAAACAAAGUGAGGACAGGAAUAUACAGUAGCAGAAAGACCAAGCAGCCUGGUUGCUCUUUCAUUGAAGUGGAUGGAUGCGUGCAUGAGUUCUUUGCAGGGGACGAGUCACAUUUUGAAACUGAAGCUAUAUACAACACUCUUUUGGGAAUUAAUGAACUGUUAGUAGCAGAGUCCUUCCUGAUG